rnacentral:rRNA from 1 species
AUUGAACGCUGGCGGCAGGCCUAACACAUGCAAGUCGAGCGGAUGAAGGGAGCUUGCUCCUGGAUCCAGCGGCGGACGGGUGAGUAAUGCCUAGGAAUCUGCCUGGUAGUGGGGGAUAACGUCCGGAAACGGACGCUAAUACCGCAUACGUCCUGAGGGAGAAAGUGGGGGAUCUUCGGACCUCACGCUAUCAGAUGAGCCUAGGUCGGAUUAGCUAGUUGGUGGGGUAAAGGCCUACCAAGGCGACGAUCCGUAACUGGUCUGAGAGGAUGAUCAGUCACACUGGAACUGAGACACGGUCCAGACUCCUACGGGAGGCAGCAGUGGGGAAUAUUGGACAAUGGGCGAAAGCCUGAUCCAGCCAUGCCGCGUGUGUGAAGAAGGUCUUCGGAUUGUAAAGCACUUUAAGUUGGGAGGAAGGGCAGUAAGUUAAUACCUUGCUGUUUUGACGUUACCAACAGAAUAAGCACCGGCUAACUUCGUG